rnacentral:rRNA from 1 species
UACGGAGGGGGCUAGCGUUGUUCGGAAUUAUUGGGCGUAAAGGGUGCGUAGGCGGUUCGGUAAGUUUUGUGUGAAAUCUUCGGGCUCAACUCGAAGUCUGCAUAAGAUACUGCCGGGCUUGAGUAUGGGAGAGGUGAGUGGAAUUUCCGGUGUAGCGGUGAAAUGCGUAGAUAUCGGAAGGAACACCUGUGGCGAAAGCGGCUCACUGGACCAUAACUGACGCUGAGGCACGAAAGCUAGGGGAGCAAACAGG